CAGAUGCAUAAAAUCGUGUUAAUCAUAAACAGCAAACAACUUCAUGCUGAAGUAAUCACCCAAGGGUCAUUUAAGCUGUGCGCUCACAGACGCGCAACUCGCACGAGUGAUCAAAACGCGCAAGCAUCCUAUUUCAAAUUUAAUCAGUCACGGAAAAUCGGUUGAGCUGAAAACCUGAGGGGGGCGAAGUUACACUGGUAAGUAAGAAAUACAUAAAUGUGUUGAUUACUUUUGUUAUUUUAUUUAUUUCGAACUUACUCCUCAUCAUUUAUGACUUACAUGUUUAUUUCAGCAAGCACAAAGAAGAAACGUCCACAAACUGUUUCGUCCAGGCCUGCACUGUUCUCCGCCAGGAGGUAGUUUCAUUCAUAGAGCACAUUACAUCCAAAACUGAAUGAAGCCGACUGCACUGAUAUAAAGAGAUUAACUGAGCUCUAUUCAAGAGAAUGUCUAAUGUCAAAGAGAGGAAGUGAUGGAAAUGUUUCAGUUUCUCAACUUGAAAGACCUUCAUCUAACUCAGAGCACUUCUGAAGUUCUGGUCACCAACAUCAUCAGAGCCAUGAGAAGUGAAAAUCACACAGGACAUCUGACUUCAAAACAAAGAAAUAAAAGUUAAAUAUUUUCCCAUUAUUUGUCAUUUUUUUGCAUUGCAUCAAGGUUUUUAUGAUAAAUAAUGGUUAAUUUCUGUUUGCAAUGGCUCUGGAGUGCAGCAUUACUGGUUUGACCAUCUUCAUACAGAUAAAACACAACACUCCUCUUCAUGGAUCAGCACAUCCAUCCUCAACCUGAUCUUUCAUAUGGUGUCAAGACCCCUCAGAUAGUGCAGAGAGUCGGCAUCAAACUUAUGACAUGGAGUUGGCUGAAGUCAAGUGAAGUUUUCUUUAAUUUGUUGUAUCCAAAAGACCUCACUCAGUGUGUUUCAUUAUAACCAUGCUGUAGAAAGAC